ACGGGAACCACCUGGAAGGGGCAGGGGCGGUGGACACAGGUACAAGCAGCCAGAGGAGCCAUCAAGGAAAUUGUAGGAGAGACACUCAGCUUUUGGAGUGUCAUCUCUGAAGAGCCUGUAAAGCAUCCCUUGAGGGAAAACCCCCCAGCAUUUGAAAUACACGAUAUCUUGGGGGCUUCAAUGUCAAAUUACAACUGUCCUCCUCAAGUGAGACCCUUCCUGCCCAAGGCUGCCAUAUGCAUGUGAAAUCACUCCCUGGAGUUUUGCAGUGUGCAGCCUGCACCAUCACACAGGGCAGCAUGGCUUCUCACUGUUGCCUACUCCACCAUUGCAGGGGCCUGAAACAUCAACCAACAAGAGGGGGAGGGACAGCCAGUUUCUGCUAAAAUGCAGACUUAGCAUGGGCUCUGGCUGUCUUUCCAUAAAUCAACCUUGGAUAAAAGAGAAAAACCUGGAAUCAAGAAAACCACAAACAGGCAAAUAAAGAAGCCCCUGGGGAGAGGGGAAGGCCGAAGGCUGCUUUUGUUGGUGUGGGAGAGGUUGGGGGGAAGUGGUAGCUGGGGUGGCUGUGAGGGGGUAAGUUAAUUGAGAACAAAGCAAUUUAAGUUCUCCUCUUGCCUCCCUCAUCAGUGCAUAGGGAUAAUCAUCGCCCAAGACCAACAAUGGAGGUUGUCUGUGGGAGUGGAACCAGGGCAGCACCAAAGCCUUGCUGAGUGACGAGGAAAAAAAGUAGGAACAAGACAGGGAUGUCUACCACUACUACUACUGCAACAACUACUACUUCUAAACAACAUUGCACUGGAGGUCCAAAAAUAAUUGAAGACACAAGGAUUGGAAGAAGGAAAUAAAAACAUCAUUAUUUGUAAGCAGGGGAGGAGGGAGACCAAGAAAUAGAGAGAAAACUGAUCAUACCCCUCCUUCUUCAGCGCAGAUGUUCUGGUCUGAGACUGACCUGAGCCAAGAGAGGAGAGAAUUUGUAAUGAAUUCUGGAGUCCUAAUGUUAAACAGGACUAGACGCUUUACUACCUAAAAAAGAGGCUAUUGUUUAGCAGGGAAAGUGACUAAUCUAUAAGAGUUGCCAAAAAUGUCAGGAGCCAAGAGCAUUAAAAACACUAGAUGCUGUGAACAAAAAGGUCUGCUUUCUGAUUGCACCAUAAUAAGACAAGCUAAUUAAGUAUGCUGAUGAGAUGUUCACCCCCUGAUAUGAUAAAAGCAAGAGAGAGACAUGGAAGGGAGGCCAGGACCUGCUCUGCAACUUCCCUGCCCCAGUUCCCUCCAUCUCCUCCACACAGAGGAGCAGGAAACACAGGCAACUUCCCAACUCAAAGUAAACAAAGCCAAUACCUACCCUGCGUUCCUGGAAUUUACAAUCUAAGACAGCAUUGAUGUGAAGGGGCAUGUAAGGCUUAUGGACAACUAAACAAGCCUUUCCCAUUAAAACUGGAACCCAUUAAAGAAAAAGGGUAAGUGCAUUUGGCAGAAGGCAUGAGUGAACAAGGGGAAAAUGACAUGAUAGAAGGAAAGAAACUUGGCAGCGAGGCUGGAAAGGGAGCCACAGGGCAUGCUGGAGGAAGGCCUGUAGGGAAUUAGAUGAUCAAGGUAUUGAGUUAAUUGAUCUGUGCAGAUGAAAGUCAACUUUAUUUUUUGGCUAGAGUUAUCUGAUUCCUUGCAUUGAGUGGCAUUUGUUGUAUGAGAUUGUCUUCCUGAGUAAUACUGUAUCUUGGCAAGCUUGUAAAAUAUAGUUUUUAAACUUAAAAAAAAACACAUGGCUAUCAUAUCUUAGUUGCAACAGAAGAGCCAUAACCCAUGCUUUAUAGAGAAUCAGGUUUUUUUUUAAUUUCACAAAGGCAAUCAUGCUUUAUCAAAAGACAUUCUUUACUGCUUGAUAUUUUUAUUUAUUAAAAAACAAGUUUUCUAGCAAGGAAUCAGACAUUUGUAUACCAAUGUUUAUAGCAGCACCAUUCACAGUAGCCAAAUGGUGGGUGCAACUAAAAUGUCCACCGACCGAGGAAUGAAUAAGCAAAACAUGGUAUAUACAGACAACGGAAGGUGAUUCAGCCUUAGGAAGACAAUUCUAAAUGACAUAAGCA
rnacentral:lncRNA from 1 species